GACGAACGCUGGCGGCGUGCUUAACACAUGCAAGUCGAACGGAAAGGCCCUGCUUUUGUGGGGUGCUCGAGUGGCGAACGGGUGAGUAACACGUGAGUAACCUGCCCUUGACUUUGGGAUAACUUCAGGGAACUGGGGCUAAUACCGGAUAGGAGCUCCUGCUGCAUGGUGGGGGUUGGAAAGUUUCGGCGGUUGGGGAUGGACUCGCGGCUUAUCAGCUUGUUGGUGGGGUAGUGGCUUACCAAGGCUUUGACGGGUAGCCGGCCUGAGAGGGUGACCGGCCACAUUGGGACUGAGAUACGGCCCAGACUCCUACGGGGGGCAGCGGGGGGGAAUAUUGCACAAGGGGCGGAAGCCUGAUGCAGCAACGCCGCGGGGGGGAUGACGGCCUUCGGGUUGUAAACCGCUUUCGCCUGUGACGAAGGGUGAGUGACGGUAAUGGGUAAAGAAGCACUGGCUAACUACGU
rnacentral:rRNA from 1 species